rnacentral:rRNA from 1 species
UACCAGCACCCCGAGUGGUCGGGACGUUUAUUGGGCCUAAAGCAUCCGUAGCCGGUUCUACAAGUCUUCCGUUAAAUCCACCUGCUCAACAGAUGGGCUGCGGAAGAUACUAUGGAGCUAGGAGGGCGGGAGAGGCAAGCGGUACUCGAUGGGUAGGGGUAAAAUCCGUUGAUCCAUUGAAGACCACCAGUGGCGAAGGCGGCUUGCCAGAACGCGCUCGACGGUGAGGGAGUGAAAGCUGGGGGAGCAACCGG